rnacentral:rRNA from 1 species
GGGUGAGUAACACGUAUGCAACCUGCCCCUGUCAGGGGGACAACCCGCCGAAAGGCGGGCUAAACCCGCGUACAUGCCACCGGGGCAUCUCGGAGGCAGGAAAGGCUUCGGCCGGACAGGGAUGGGCAUGCGGCGCAUUAGGCAGUAGGCGGGGUAACGGCCCACCUAACCGACGAUGCGUAGGGGUUCUGAGAGGAAGGUCCCCCACACUGGUACUGAGACACGGACCAGACUCCUACGGGAGGCAGCAGUGAGGAAUAUUGGUCAAUGGUCGGGAGACUGAACCAGCCAAGCCGCGUGAGGGAUGAAGGUACAGAGUAUCGUAAACCUCUUUUGUCAGGGAACAAAGGCGGGGACGUGUCCCCGGAUGAGUGUACCUGAAGAAAAAGCAUCGGCUAACUCCGUGCCAGCAGCCGCGGUAAUACGGAGGAUGCGAGCGUUAUCCGGAUUUAUUGGGUUUAAAGGGUGCGCAGGCGGUCUGUUAAGUCAGCGGUCAAAGCCCGGGGCUCAACCCCGGCCCGCCGUUGAAACUGGCAGUCUCGAGUUGGAGAGAAGUAUGCGGAAUGCGCGGUGUAGCGGUGAAAUGCAUAGAUAUCGCGCAGAACUCCGAUUGCGAAGGCAGCAUGCCGGCUCCACACUGACGCUGAGGCACGAAAGCGUGGGUAUCGAACAGGAUUAGAUACCCUGGUAGUCCACGCAGUAA